CUUGGUGCCAUCAAGAAUCAACUGUCUCGUCAAUUCAGGACCACUCAAACCACCUACCAGAAUGCAAUUUAUAGCAAACUUACAGAUACUUCAUUUGCCAUCGACCUUGGUUUCAAAAUCACCAACGUAACCCUGGAGUCUCUAAGUAAUAGACUCACAUUCACCAAUGAGACCUACGUCCAGAUACAGGAUUCAAUUAACAGACUACUCCAUACAAUUCUCAGUGAACCAGACGGCAAACAGUUUCCCUUUCCCAAAG